UUUCUGUCACUGAAGGCAUGGGGAGUCAGGAUUUUUACCUUCUGGACCAGCCUUCCCCACCACGUGCUGUGGGCCAUCCCUGCAACUUGGACUUAGGGCAGAAGUCUGUCCCCCUCUAUGUGGUCAAGAUGGAUGAAAGUUGAAGCUACCACGUGCAAACCAGGCUGAACAGCUGCUGAUUAUAUACAUGCUCUUGGGAAAACUCUUACCCCGGUCCCUGCAGGGUCAGAGGGAAUCCCUGCUUGUUCUAGCGCUUGGCUUCCUGGGCCUGACCUGACCAGAUGGAAAGUCUAGGGAAGGACAUCUGGACUCUUCUUGGUCACUGAGCCUCAACUCCACACAUCUUGGGGAUCUGCUGCCCCCAGAGCCAGGCAUCCGAAACCCCACAGUCUGCCUCCAAGUCAAUGAUACCCUGGCCUUCCUGGUGACUCAUGAGCAUUACCCAGAGUAUGACCUGGGCCACUUCUAUAACACACUGGAGCAAUAUGACUGGCGGCGCUUCCGGGCCCUGGCUGAGGAGUCCCAGCUCUAUGAGCAAAGCCUCAGCCUCUUUCUGCAGCAGUUCCAAAAGCCGGGCAUUUAUGUCUUUCGUCUGAGCAGCAACCGACAUCGGAAGAUGAUGCAGUGUCACAGCCUGAGCUGGGCUCGGAAGGCUGCUCCCCACCCCACCUUCAGGAGACAUCAGCAAGAAUGCAACCUCGAUGCCUACACUUCCCCAAGAACUGGGAUAAUGUCAAUAAGGAGAGGCCGAUCUCACCAAGACUCUGACGCCCCCAGGGUUGAGGGGGGUCCUGGUGGGAGCUGGGAGGCUGAGGAGCAGGUAGAUCUGGAGUGGUUUGACACAGAGGCCUUCUUUGGAGACUGCCUCAGGCAGUCUCUGUCAGUGACAGCCAAACUCAGCCACACGAAGGAAGAGCUCAAACUCCUCUACCUUAAACUUCUGGGUGAAGCCCGUUCUCUCCAGCAGCUGUGGGGAACAAGGCGCUGCCUCCCAGCCUCCGCUAACCGGCUUCUGAGGAGCGUGCAGAGGGAGCAGCAGCAGGGCAGUUCCCCAGCUGGACACGGUGCUGGGCCACCUGUCCCAGGUCGUGCUGCAGGAGGGCCACCGCCUGAAGGCCUGGGGCAUUCUGGGCACCGGCACUGGGGCGGAGCUACUGAGGCCAGCCCCAGCAGGCCCUCCUGGUGCUGAUGACAUCAGUGUGAACCCCGUCACCAAGUUGAUGGUCCCUGGCCCCAACUCCUUGAUGCUUCCAGC
ensembl:lncRNA novel transcript